UACGUAGGGUGCGAGCGUUAAUCGGAAUUACUGGGCGUAAAGCGUGCGCAGGCGGUGAUGUAAGACAGGUGUGAAAUCCCCGGGCUUAACCUGGGAACUGCAUUUGUGACUGCAUCGCUGGAGUGCGGCAGAGGGGGAUGGGAUUCCGCGUGUAGCAGUGAAAUGCGUAGAUAUGCGGAGGAACACCGAUGGCGAAGGCAGCCCCCUGGGUCAAAACUGACGCUCAUGCACGAAAGCGUGGGGAGCAAACAGG
rnacentral:rRNA from 1 species